rnacentral:rRNA from 1 species
UUUCGGAACGAGAGGGAGUGGCGGACGGGUGAGUAACACAUGGGUGACCUGGCCUGAAGAGAGGGAUACCGGCGAGAAAUCGCCGACAAGCCCGCAUAGGUUCUUUUUCGUGGGUGGGAGAGAGCAAAGUUCUUUUUCGGAAGGACGCUUUGGGAUGGGCCUGUGGCCGAUUAGCUAGUUGGUGGGGUAAGAGCCUACCAAGGCGACGAUCGGUAGCUGGUCCGAGAGGACGAUCAGCCACACUGGGAUUGAGAACGGCCCAGACUCCUACGGGGGGCAGCAGUGAGGAAUUUUCCGCAAUGGACGAAAGUCUGACGGAGCAACGCCGCGUGCAGGAGGACGCUUUUCGGA